UGUACCAUUUACAACACUGCAGUAACAAAAAAGGACAGAUGGUGGCGCCAGAGGCCCUUCACCGUGACUGAGCUAACUGGCGCCAAAAGGAAACAGUAAUGGAGGAUAUCGAAAUUACCAAUUACUGCAGGAAAUUACAUUUGACAGGCUGCAAAUAUCAACCAUAAGUGGGAUAAAGAAGAAGAAGAAGAAGAAGAAGAGAAGAAGGUUGUGAUGAGGGAAAAUGUCCUAAGGGGCCCAUAUACACAGGAACACUACAAUGAACAGUACUACAGCGCCGCUGCUGCUGUCAUGGUGUUCCCAGAAAUGGCUCUUUGCAGCUCUUCCAGGAGAACAUGUGGGGGAAGAAUGAUUGACGACCUGCAACUUAUGGAACACACAAGCUACAUUCUAGGACCUCCACCCUUCCAAUCACAUCAUCCCCUGUCUCUAAGGAGCACAGAAACAAAGGUAGAAUGUUUUAAAUGCUACGAGGCUGCAACCUUUUGCCUUCAGAAGCUAUGCCGGCCUCGGUUUGAGUGAAGGGAAUGGAUUCGGUCAAUUAUUCAUUAAGUAAGCAUGAAGCUUUCUAAUGUUCGUCUGCUGCUUUCUUCAGUGAGAUUUUUUUCCCUUUAAUGCCCUGCAGCUCUCAGUUAUCUG